rnacentral:rRNA from 5 species
CGACGACCUCAGAGCAGGCGAGACU